AACGAACGCUGGCGGCGUGCCUAACACAUGCAAGUCGAACGCGAAAACAGUAAUGUUGAGUAGAGUGGCGCACGGGUGAGUAACACGUAACUGACAUGUCCUAGAGACAGGAAUAACCGUUCGAAAGGAUGGCUAAUACCUGGUAAGCCCACGAUGUUUGGCAUUGAGGGAAAAGGAUCGGGACCUUUCGAGGCCGGUCGCUUUAGGAGUGGGUUGCGGCCCAUCAGCUAGUUGGCGGGAAAGACC
rnacentral:rRNA from 1 species